rnacentral:misc_RNA from 1 species
GAUACACUGUAUCAGUUGGAGGAGUUAGCGUGCCAAGCUGAGAGAGGUUGCCGACAAAAUAACCAGCGAAGCAGUUAGCGGAGACGUAAGUGUAGGGGAUGUUAGCCUCUUCUAUUGCCUUUCGCACUACCAUUUUCUGAUCAAAAGACUCUCUUCCUGGUUCAAGCGCAUGUCCCAUUUUUGAUGGGUCCAUGCCAAAUUCUGAAGGCAAGAAACGCUUAACAUUUCCUGCUUCUUUGAUGGCUUCAACAAGUUUGAGCUGCAUGAGAAGGUUAUGGGAUCGAAAAUGA